GAGACAGUUCGGUCCCUAUCUGCCGUGGGCGUUGGAUGAUUGAGUGGAGUUGCUCCUAGUACGAGAGGACCGGAGUGGACGAACCGCUGGUGUUCGGGUUGUCAUGCCAAUGGCAUUGCCCGGUAGCUACGUUCGGAAUCGAUAACCGCUGAAAGCAUCUAAGCGGGAAGCGAGCCCUAAGAUGAGUCAUCCCUAGAGCUUUAAGCUCUCUAAAGGGCCGUAGGAGACUACUACGUUGAUAGGCAAGGUGUGUAAGCGUUGUGAGGCGUUGAGCUAACUUGUACUAAUGACCCGUGAGGCUUAACCAU
rnacentral:rRNA from 1 species